CCAACCUUCGCUAAUGUCGGAUAGCUAGCCAGUUAUCAACUUGUUUUGUUAAACACAAAACAAGACAUUCCAACCUUACCAAUUUCUCUUCUUCUUUUGGUCUUCUCGAUGCCUCCGUCCAGAAUAUGUGUGAGUUUCUCCACGUUAAAUGUAGCGUUCUCACGCUCUCUAGUUAUGUCAGGAUUCAUGGCGUAAUAAAUAAUAUUUCCCUUUGCAAAAGACGACGUUGCAUGUGGCAAAAGAAAUAUGAAUUGUGUCACCUUGGGACCACAGGAACCAAGUUCAGCACUGCAUUAACUGGAGCCUGACCAAUUAUUGACAACUUCCUGAAUAGCGGGAAGAGGGGCGGGUAAACAAAAUCAUGUUAUGUGACGUUGUGAAACAUUACCGCGUUGAACUGGCAAAACACACAACUGGCAUCUUUAUGGUAUUUGACCUAUUUUAACCUUUGAUAACUUCUUGAGAAGAUGCUUCCAGCACCUGCAGUCUUUCAUUUCCCUUGGGAAGUCAACUCUGGUGCAAUCAACGAGGGAGAUUCAGUGAGAACACUUGGAAGAUUGGUGAAUCUAGAAAAGGCUACACUAUCUAUACAUCAUGCAGCACCAAGUUGUUCAGACUACAUUUGUGGAACCCUUUGACCCCAUCAUUGGAGCCCAGUACAUAGUUCUGGGCGAGAUUGAAAAAGCAGAGGGAGGUGAUGGCCCAUGCCCGUGUGCUGAACUGUGUGGAUGGGGUCAACCUAGUCCUGCUACAGGGAGGUGUCAAUGAACAGAGGAGCUACUUCAGAGAGAGGGGGUAGAGCAAGGGAGAUGCUGCUACUGCUGCUCGGCCACCUGCUCCUCUCUGACCUGGACCCCAAUAAGAAUUCACCUGAUACAGUGCUACUAGUGGAAAGUUAUGAACCAGGUGGAAUUUAAUGACAUGUUGUAAUGUUUAUAUGACCUCAGCUGGAUCGUGUCAAAAGAUCAGAUUUUUUAUGUUCGGGACAUUUUCCCAAAUAGCCGAUUUACAUGGGGAUGUCAAGAAUUAUGAGACUCUGCCUUUCGCUAAUUUAGAAUGGCGAAGGGUGGAAUUGGGAUAUAAAAAGACUGGAGGAAAUCCUGAUUCGAUACACAAAAGCUGCUUGUUCUGGUGCACUGUAAAGUCCUGCCAUUAUUUGUCAUACGAUAUCAAUUCUGGAAGUCACCCUCUUCCUGCUGACAGAGUUAGGCAGGUUCACUGAAUGUUGGGUCAGGUGUAUGAAGUAGAUCAAGAAAAUGCAUAAUUGUUGAUGAGAAUGAGAAUUGUUGAUGUAGCCAUUUAUGCAAUGGUUAUAUUUGUGAAUGAAAACUGAAAUGUAGCUUGGAAAUGUAUAUUUGUGAGAAACAAAUAAAAUCUUCUUGAUUUGA